CCGUCCUUUGGCUUGGUGACGGUCUUGGCGGCUUUCUUUGCUCCUUUAGCAGACGGCUUUGGUGGGGCCAUUUCGAUUGAUUGGACUGGUCGUUGGACAAGUGUAAGGAAUGGGUUGUUGGCCAUUACCUUUAUAACAAUUUUUCGGUGGGAAGGAGGAGCC
ensembl:ncRNA F07B7.15 ncRNA